UACGUAGGGGGCAAGCGUUGUCCGGAUUUACUGGGGCGUAAAGAGCGUGUAGGCGGCCAAACAGGUCCGUUGUGAAAACUGGAGGCUUAACCUCCAGACGUCGACGGAAACCGUGUGGCUAGAGUCCGGAAGAGGAGAGUGGAAUUCCUGGUGUAGCGGUGAAAUGCGCAGAUAUCAGGAAGAACACCAAUGGCGAAGGCAGCUCUCUGGGACGGUACUGACGCUGAGACGCGAAAGCGUGGGGAGCGAACAGG
rnacentral:rRNA from 1 species